ACGGGUGAGUAACGCGUGAGUAACCUGCCUUUCGGAGGGGGACAACAGCUGGAAACGGCUGCUAAUACCGCAUAACGUAUAUUGAGGGCAUCCUCGAUAUACCAAAGAUUUAUCGCCGAGAGAUGGACUCGCGUCUGAUUAGCUAGUUGGUGAGGUAAUGGCUCACCAAGGCUGCGAUCAGUAGCCGGACUGAGAGGUUGAACGGCCACAUUGGGACUGAGAUACGGCCCAGACUCCUACGGGAGGCAGCAGUGGGGAAUAUUGGGCAAUGGGGGAAACCCUGACCCAGCAACGCCGCGUGAAGGAAGAAGGCUUUCGGGUUGUAAACUUCUUUGACGAGGGACGAAACAAAUGACGGUACCUCGAAAACAAGCCACGGCUAACUACGUGCCAGCAGCCGCGGUAAUACGUAGGUGGCAAGCGUUAUCCGGAUUUACUGGGUGUAAAGGGCGCGUAGGCGGGACUGCAAGUCAGAUGUGAAAUGUGAGGGCUUAACCCUCAAGCUGCAUUUGAAACUGUGGUUCUUGAGUAUCGGAGAGGCAGGCGGAAUUCCAAGU
rnacentral:rRNA from 1 species